rnacentral:rRNA from 1 species
AGUGAACGCUGGCGGUAGGCCUAACACAUGCAAGUCGAACGGCAGCACAGUAAGAGCUUGCUCUUACGGGUGGCGAGUGGCGGACGGAUGAGGAAUACAUCGGAAUCUACUUUUUCGUGGGGGAUAACGUAGGGAAACUUACGCUAAUACCGCAUACGACCUACGGGUGAAAGCAGGGGAUCUUCGGACCUUGCGCGAUUGAAUGAGCCGAUGUCGGAUUAGCUAGUUGGCGGGGUAAAGGCCCACCAAGGCGACGAUCCGUAGCUGGUCUGAGAGGAUGAUCAGCCACACUGGAACUGAGACACGGUCCAGACUCCUACGGGAGGCAGCAGUGGGGAAUAUUGGACAAUGGGCGCAAGCCUGAUCCAGCCAUACCGCGUGGGUGAAGAAGGCCUGCGGGUUGUAAAGCCCUUUUGUUGGGAAAGAAAAGCAGCAGGUUAAUACCCCGCUGUUCUGACGGUACCCAAAGAAUAAGCACCGGCUAACUUCGU